rnacentral:rRNA from 1 species
UACGGAGGGUGCAAGCGUUGUCCGGAAUCACUGGGCGUAAAGGGCGCGUAGGCGGCUCGGUAAGUAGGGGGUGAAAUCCUGCGGCUCAACCGCAGGGCUGCCUUCUAAACUGUCGAGCUCGAGCACGGUAGAGGCAGAUGGAAUUCCCGGUGUAGCGGUGGAAUGCGUAGAGAUCGGGAAGAACAUCAGUGGCGAAGGCGGUCUGCUGGGCCGUUGCUGGACGCUGAGGCGCGACAGCGUGGGGAGCAACAGG